AAAGGCAACCGAAAUGAAUAAUUAAUGUAUGUGUGUUAUAUUAAACAUAGAGGAGGGAGUAAAAUGUUGGCAAGCAAUAAACAUUUCAGGACGACUAUGUCUGAAUUAUUAUCCUUACACUUUCAAAAAUACUAGUUGAAUAAGACACGGGAGAGAUGACGAAUUUUGGCAAAGAGAUUUAUUUAUAGACUAAUACAACAAUCAGUAGCGGAUUUAGGUACAGGCGACAUAGGCAUCUUGCGUGGGGCAACACGGUGCGGGGCGGACGCUGAAGGGGGGGUUCGCCCAGGGCGACAUACAAGCUAGAACCGCCGCAUACACUUGAAACAAAUAGCCAAACUGAAAACUGCAGACAAAAAUGCUUUCUGCUACUAAGAUCAGUGAAAUGUAGGCUAAACUGACAGAGUGAAGAGCAGAAAUGUCAACUAGCAAGCAAGUCACAGUAACGAGGAACGCGAAGGGGGAAUUCUGGCAGAGGGGAGAUUUUCGAGACAACACCUGUGCAGAAGCAAAGGCUACGUAUGUAUUACAGGUAUAACAUACACUUUAUUUAUAACAUAUACUUUAUUUAUAACAUAUACUUUAUUUCACCGAAAAUCCCUCAUUUAUUAUAAUUAAUUGUUUUAUGGUUAUUUUGAGAUGUGUUACACUACUUUUAAGAGUGAACUAUUGUAUUGUAUUGUAUUUAUCUACAUGGUGUUAAUGCUGUGAGGUCAUCAACGGGAGCCAUGCUUUUACUCAUUUUGCUCAGAGCCUGAUGAGUAGAGGUAUGUGUUAUGUACGCUCCGCUCUUUUCAAUGCACAUGUAAGCAAAUGUCCAAAAAAAGACAACCGAAAAUGAUAUCGUCAUUGAUUUAGUGUUGCGCUACAGUUUUUAGGAAUAUAUAUUAGUGUGAAUGGGGAUAAUGUUUGACUGCAACUUUGCAAGGUUUGCCCAGCCAGCGUUACCUUUGGGGUCUCUCAGGUGCAGACAGCGUGAGUUUUCUGACAGGAAUUCAGCACUCUUUUGUCUUUUAUCAGGCUAAUAUAGUUGUGUAUGGCAGUCCAGACGGCAGCAUCAAGCUUGGCUUUGUAUUUGUAUCCAUUCCAUGCAGUCACUAAAAGAGACAACCGGCAGAAUUGUGUCCAGAGACUUGUCUUCCACCUACACCUCACCAGAACACAACGCAGAAAGGUACAGGACUGAAGUGUCUUUAACACGUGCACGAUGGGGAGAUGAGGCCAGAGGUUGCAUUGCAUUACAACUGCUCUCUUUUCUCUCUCCCUCCCAUUUUCUCUGUUCCUCUUUUUCUCUUCUCUUCAUUCCACUCCAUUCUUUCUCUUUACUCUCAUUUUUCUCUCCCCUUUCCUUCUCUCUCCUCCCUUUCUUUCUCUCUCUCUCUCUCUCUCUCUCUCUCUCUCUCUCCUCUCCUUUCUCCUCUUUCUCUCGUUUUCUCUCCUCUUUCUUUCUCUCUCUCUCUCUCUCCUUUCUCACUUAUUUUUCUCUUUCUCUCAAAUUCAUUUUUUCCUAAUUCAAGCUGCUUUAUUGGUAUGAAAAACAUUGUCUCACUUUUGCCAAAGCAACAAUGUGUACAAUAUACAUUGUAAUACAAUUAUAAAAAGAUAACAAAUAGUAAUAUAAAAUGGUGGCAAAUGAUAAUACAACAUGAAAUACAAAAAUAACAAGGUAAGUCAGUAGUAGAAAUAUAAUAAAUAAAAAUGGAAAAUGAAACUAAAACUAACUUAUAACUAAAUAACUAAUCUUCACCAUUACAUCAGUACUACAACCACCAUCAUCAUUACCAUCAUCAAAUCAAAAAUCAAAUUGAUUUAUAUAGCCCUCCAUACAUCAGCUGAUAUCUCAAAGUGCUGUACAGAAACCCAAGCUAAAACCCCAAACAGCAAGCAAUGCAGGUGUAGAAGCACGUUGGUAGGAAAAACUCCCUAGAAAGGCCAAAACCUAGGAAGAAACCUAGAGAGGAACCAGGCUAUGUGGGGUGGCCAGUCCUCUUCUGGCUGUGCCGGGUGGAGAUUAUAACAGAACAUGGCCAAGAUGUUCAAAUGUUCAUAAAUGACCAGCAUGGUCGUAUAAUAAUAAGGCGGAACAGUUGAAACUGGAGCAGCAGCACAGUCAGAUGGACUGGGGACAGCAAGGAGUCAUCAUGUCAGGUAGUCCUGGGGCAUGAUCCUAGGGCUCAGGUCCUCCGAGAGAGAGAAAGAAAGAGAGAAUUAGAGAGAGCAUAUGUGGGGUGGCCAGUCCUCUUCUGGCUGUGCCGGGUGGAGAUUAACAGAACAUGGCCAAGAUGUUCAAAUGUUCAUAAAUGACCAGCAUGGUCGAAUAAUAUUAAGGCAGAACAGUUGAAACUGGAGCAGCAGCACGGCCAGGUGGACUGGGGACAGCAAGGAGUCAUCAUGUCAGGUAGUCCUGGGGCAUGGUCCUAGGGCUCAGGUCCUCUAAGAGAGAGAAAGAAAGAGAGAAGGAGAGAAUUAGAGAACGCACACUUAGAUUCACACAGGACACCGAAUAGGACAGGAGAGGUACUCCAGAUAUAACAAACUGACCCUAGCCCCCCAACACAAACUACUGCAGCAUAAAUACUGGAGGCUGAGACAGGAGGGGUCAGGAGACACUGUGGCCCCAUCCGAUGAUACCCCCGGACAGGGCCAAACAGGCAGAGUAUAGCCCACAAAGAUCUCCACUACGGCACAAGCCAAGAGGGGUUGUGCCUUCCUCUCCCUUUUACACUCUCGCUCCUAUUUUCUAUCUCCUUUUCUCUCUCCUUUUCUCUCUCCCUUCUCCCUCUCUCUCCCUUCUCCCUCUCUCUCCUUUUCUCUCUCCCUUCUCCCUCUCUCUCCUUUUCUCU
ensembl:lncRNA